GCGCUGGCCGGUUAGCUCAGUUGGUUAGA
rnacentral:piRNA from 1 species